AACGCGAAGAACCUUACCUGGAUUUGACAUGCACGUGACGACGUUAGAGAUAACGUUUUCUCGCAAGAGACGCGUGCACAGGUGCUGCAUGGCUGUCGUCAGCUCGUGCCGUGAGGUGUUGGGUUAAGUCCCGCAACGAGCGCAACCCUUGUCGUUAGUUGCCAGCGAGUAAUGUCGGGCACUCUAGCGAGACUGCCUGGGUUAACCAGGAGGAAGGUGAGGAUGACGUCAAGUCCGCAUGGCCUUUAUGUCCAGGGCUACACACGUGCUACAAUGGCAGGUACAGAAGGCAGCGAGACCGAGAGGUGGAGCAAAUCCUAAAAGCCUGCCCCAGUUCAGAUUGAAGUCUGCAACUCGACUUCAUGAAGAUGGAAUUGCUAGUAAUGGCGAGUCAGCAACAUCGCCGUGAAUACGUUCCCGGGCCUUGUACACACCGGAGUGC
rnacentral:rRNA from 1 species